rnacentral:tRNA from 1 species
GCCCGCAUAGCUCAGCCGGUAGAGCAUCAGACUUUUAAUCUGAGGGUCCAGGGUUCAAGUCCCUGUUCGGGCGCCA